rnacentral:lncRNA from 1 species
ACAGCAUUUGCUGGAGAAUUUGGAACAAGAAGACCUCGUUGGACUUUAUCCAAGGGGAUUUAGUCACUGCAGAUCUAAAACUCCUCAUAAGGCUGUGGCACAGUUCCAGAACCUGGCUCCAAGGAAGAGAGGGCCAAUCCAGGCUUCAGGCUCCAGUGUGUAUGGAGGAGCUGCCACUGCAGAGACGCUGGCUUAGGGGGCUGGGGGAUGCCUCCUUUGAAUUCUGGGCCCACCACUGACAACACUUCUCUUCUUGGAGAAAAGAUGACGAGAAGGAGAGGUCUUAGAACACAUCCUUAUCUGAAGGACAGGAUACAGUCUUGUUUUAGGAAACUCCAGCUGCUCUGUGUCAUUGAAAGGGAAGAGGAGAGACCAGAUGGUCCAAGUUCGCCAUGGCACUGGUAAGGACCUGAGACUGACUGCAGGCCCUUCAUGAAAGCAAAGCCUGGGUGUGUUAUAACCGCCAGUCCCACUCUCCCACAGUGAGGUCCAUCCCGGCAGGGGCUGAGUCCACCUUGACCACUGAGACAAACAGACCUGGUGAUGGACUCAGUGUUUUUAAAUUGUGGAGCUUGGACAGGGAGGGGCGAGAUGGAGAACGAGGUAUACACAAAAGAGAACAAUGUGAUGAGGGCAUGAAGUGUGCUUACCAACCUUCCCUCACUCAGAGGCUGGAAGAGAUUUUAGAGCUUAACAGAAAAAGAGUGGGAAGAGGACACUGCUGGGCAAAAGACAUGAACUAAAGACUUCUCGGCUGUCCCCAUCAGUGGCACGGUGGUCUCAGCAGUACCGAUGUGGAUACUCAAGAACGUGAGGCUACCGUGGAAAUGCUUUGCUUAAACCACACGUUGAGUUUCCAAGGAGUGAAGAUCCCCAGGGAAAGCAUCUAGGACCCUGCCAUGUUGGCCCAGCUCUGGGAAGUCAAUCGACGUGGACCCCUUACUGUGUUAACUGCUAAUCAGCCUUCUGUAAAAAUGAUAUUGCAAAUUCACCUGUAGCCGUCUAUUUUGUUCUCUUGCUGGUGAGGAAUAGGAACUGAUGUAAAUUGGUGAAGGUUUGCUGGAGCCUGUAAGAAAAUAUUUUAUGAAAUUAAAACUAGUGCUUAUUACUCUGGUCCAUUAGGCUGGGUGGUCUCCCCUGCACUAGGGCUAGCACUGUCCCCGACAGGGCCUGUCUUCCCCAGUGCCAAUGCGGGCUGGGAGAGGUAGCAGCUCAGGGUCCCUGGAUCUGGCCUGGCUGCUGCUUACCUCAGGGCUGGUGGGGGCUAAUGGCAAAACUAUGGCAGAAACAGGCUGUGUGUGUUUCCCCAAAAAGCAAUGCCAGUGCAGAGCCCAUGCGCAAAGGUUCCUGCUCAAGCUCUGCUCACAUGUGGGAGGGUUUCUCCAGCUGGCUUUGGACAGCAGCACGGGAUCCUGAGCUGAGGAACACUCCUUUUCCAGGGCUCUGAGCUACGGCAGUGGGUCAGAGAGGAGAAGCGAAACACAAUAUUCGAACAAGCCCCAUGCCUUCCAAACAAACAACUGGGAUUCAAAAUCUCAGGUCAAGGAAGGAGCAACAAUGGAGGCACAGUCUUGUACCUGGCAUAUUUAAGUAUGUUUUAAUACAAAAGGAACUUGGUAAUAAUGAGAUAAUUGUCUUCAAAAGUCCAUAGUAGACUCCUGAUGAUGUUACCCUUCCAUUAUUAUUAAGGCUAGCAAAGAUUUUUAUUUUUUUAAUGAGGAAAAUGAAACGUAGUUGAGGCAAAUUAGUUUAUUGAAGCAAGCGAAGAAGAUACAGAAGGGCAUGCAUGCUAAAGAGGUGAUCUGUAAGAUAAAGCAGGCUGCUGCAAAUCGGAAGCAACCAUGCACUUCAGUUGGUAUGUGCAUUUCCUUUUGCCCAGAGCUUGGUGUUGAAAUGUAGCAUCUGCAAUUUUCUGAGCUAUUAAUUGCCAUAGUAACAACAGUCGAUUAGUAAAUAGUCCUGUGAAAUCACAAUUUCAAAGACAACAGUACAAUGGAGACUGCCCCCCCAGCAGGAGUAAAGCUGCCACCAGCUUUUAUUUAUUUUUAAUAGACAGGUUUGAGAAAAGAGUACUUUUUGUGGGGUAGCUCACACUGACUUAUUUGGAACAUCUAAAGUAGUUAUAAUCGCCAGACGGUUGAGAAUGGGAACAGUAUGAAAUCUUAGUAACCCUUUGGGCUGGUAUCCUUUAAAUAAAUUGUAUGCACAGCUUUCUGAAUAGGAUAUAAAAAUAUUAACACUAUGUAACAUUAUUUUUGUUAUUCUUAAAAAAUAAUCACGUUGAGAAGAAUCACAUUAUACCUUUUGCUAUUUAUUCAAACUCUUCUCCAUGAAAAU